rnacentral:rRNA from 1 species
UCUCUCGAAUUGUUUUUGGGGUCCCAAAGGACUAUUAGGGCACGACACCGUGAGAGGGAGCCUGAGAAACGGCCCCCAUAUCCAAGGAAGGCAGCAGGCGCGCAAAUUACCCAAUCCUUACACGGGGAGGUAGUGACAAUAAAUAACAAUACGGGGUUCUUUGGGAUUUCGUAAUUGGAAUGAGUACAAUUUAAAUCUCUUAACGAGGAACAAUUGGAGGGAAAGUCUGGUGCCAGCACCCGCGGU